GCAGCAGGCGCGAAACCUUUACACUGCACGCCAGUGCGAUAAGGGGACUCCAAGUGCGAGGGCAUAUCGUCCUCGCUUUUGUGUACCGUAAGGUGGUACACGAAUAAGGGCUGGGCAAGACCGGUGCCAGCCGCCGCGGUAAUACCGGCAGCCCAAGUGAUGACCGCUCUUAUUGGGCCUAAAGCGUCCGUAGCUGGCCGUUCAAGUCCAUCGGGAAAUCCGCGCGCCCAACGCGCGGGCGUCCGGUGGAAACUGUUCGGCUUGGGACCGGAAGACCUGAGGGGUACGUCUGGGGUAGGAGUGAAAUCCCGUAAUCCUGGACGGACCACCGGUGGCGAAAGCGCCUCAGGAGGACGGAUCCGACGGUGAGGGACGAAAGCUCGGGUCACGAACCGGAUUAGAUACCCGGGUAGUCCGAGCUGUAAACGAUGUCUGCUAGGUGUGACACAGGCCACGAGCCUGUGUUGUGCCGUAGGGAAGCCGUGAAGCAGACCGCCUGGGAAGUACGUCCGCAAGGAUGAAACUUAAAGGAAUUGGCGGGGGAGCACUACAACC
rnacentral:rRNA from 1 species